rnacentral:rRNA from 1 species
GUGCAGCAGGCGCGAAACUUUACAAUGUGCGAAAGCACGAUAAGGGAACUCUGAGUGCCUCCUAAGGAGGCUGUUCAGGUGUCUAAAAGCACCUGAAGGAAGGGCUGGGUAAGACCGGUGCCAGCCGCCGCGGUAACACCGGCAGCCCAAGUGGUAGCCACGUUUAUUGGGUCUAAAGCGUCCGUAGCCGGCUGGGUAAGUUCCUUGGGAAAUUUGGCUGCUUAACAGUCAAGCUUUCAGGGAAUACUGCCCGGCUUGGGACCGGGAGAGGUCAGAGGUACUCCAGGGGUAGGGGUGAAAUCCAUUAAUCCUUGGGGGACCACCGGUAGCGAAGGCGUCUGACCAGACCGGGUCCGACGGUGAGGGACGAAGGCUAGGGGCGCGAACCGGAUUAGAUACCCGUGUAGU